GAUGAACGCUGGCGGCGUGCCUAACACAUGCAAGUCGAACGAAAAGGCGCUGAGUUUGUUGGGCUGACGUUUGGGGCAAGGGGGUGUAUAACACGUGGAAACCCUCCCUUAAUUUCGGGUAAAAUUACGGAAAACGGGAGAAUACCCGGGAUGAGAUACUGCACCGCAGGGGGGGGUAGUAAAAUUCGGCGGUUGGGGAUGGACUCGAGGGUUACGCGUUUGAUUGGCGGGUAGGGGAGUUCCAAGGCUUUGAAGGGUAGCCGGCAUGAGAGGGUGGACGGCCACAAUAGGACUGAGGGACGGCCCAGACGCCUACGGGCGGCAGCAGUGGGGAAUAUUGCACAAUAGGCGGAAGCCUGAUGCAGAAACGCCGCGUGCGGGAUGACGGCCUUUGGGGUGUAAACCGCUUUCGCCUGUGACGAAGCGUGAGUGACGGUAAUGGGUAAAGAAGCACCGGCUAACUACGUG
rnacentral:rRNA from 1 species